rnacentral:rRNA from 1 species
AGUCAAUAGAUACCCUGGUAGUCCACGCCGUAAACGAUGUCGACUUGGAGGUUGUGCCCUUGAGGCGUGGCUUCCGGAGCUAAACGCGUUAAGUCGACCGCCUGGGGAGUACGGCCGCAAGGUUAAAACUCAAAUGAAUUGACGGGGGCCCGCACAAGCGGUGGAGCAUGUGGUUUAAUUCGAUGCAACACGAAGAACCUUACCUACUCUUGACAUCCAGAGAACUUAGCAGAGAUGCUUUGGUGCCUUCGGGAACUCUGAGACAGGUGCUGCAUGGCUGUCGUCAGCUCGUGUUGUGAAAUGUUGGGUUAAGUCCCGCAACGAGCGCAACCCUUAUCCUUUGUUGCCAGCGGUUAGGCCGGGAACUCAAAGGAGACUGCCAGUGAUAAACUGGAGGAAGGUGGGGAUGACGUCAAGUCAUCAUGGCCCUUACGAGUAGGGCUACACACGUGCUACAAUGGCGCAUACAAAGAGAAGCGACCUCGCGAGAGCAAGCGGACCUCAU